CCAAGUGAAAAGAAGUGGAUCAGUGUUGAAGCUUCAGUUUGAAGAUGAAUUCAGAGAUUGUUGCUGAUGACGUUUGUGUUCACAAUGACAGGUGGCAGCUGGGGGCGACUGCUUCCUCUGCAGGACCAAGUCUGGACUGGAGCAGGAGACUCUGUGACUCUCGUCUGCAACGUCUCUGCACUCACACCUGGUGAUGACUUCUUCUGGUAUCGACAAGAUCCAGGAGCAGCUCCAGAGUUCUUGAUCUACAUCUCAGGAACAGGGACCACAAGAUCAGCUGCCUCUCUGGACUCCAGGUUUUCAUCUCACCUGCUGGACAGAAGGAACCAGAUAGAGUUGAAGAUCAAGUCUGCUGCAGGGGCGACACACUGAGCAGCGACAUGACUGGUCUAGAGUAGGAGGAGCCACAGAGGAGGGGA